rnacentral:lncRNA from 1 species
AGAGAAAAAGAAAUGAAAAGGAAAUAAAACAAAGUGGUGCUGACAGUACCAAAAAUACAGCGGGCGUCAAAAAGAAGUUGUUAAAGGGGCAAUCAAGUAAAUUCAGAUGGUGGAGCAGCUCUCCUCUCACUUUCCGACGCGGAUUGCACUCCAUGUCUGACGCACCUUGUUUUGACUCGAAUCUCACUCAAAUCUUAAAUCCCGACCGCCCCUUUGCAUGCUGAAUCAAAUACACUUUCCCAACUCAUCUCUACAAAGAUGCGCAACUGCCUAUCCGAUCACUAUAUUCAAUUUUUAAAUUGCUCUGACGUAAAGGAGAUCCACGGUCCUAAUUUCGUGAAUCGGAGGAAUGGAAAUGAACCACGAUGCCAGGGAAAGAUAAAAGAAGUAUCUCUGCCAACUAGGCCUGGCAGGGGGAAAAAGAAAAGCAUCUAAAUACGUAUGCGGGGUGGGCCCCAGCCGCAUUUGCCAUAUGUCGGUGAGUGCGAGUGGUCCAGGCAGUGACGUGUCCAACGUAGACCGACUCACAGACAAGGUGGACCCCACAAUCACGCAGCAAAGGAGGUUGCGUAGCCAGCUCAUUUUUAUGCCGCUUGGACUCUCUAGAGAUCUUCAACGGCCCGCGUGUCACUGCCAUAUCUCCACGUGGGAGGAUUCCGCGUGCCUUCCCCUCAUUAGUCCACCCUUCGUGACUUAAUCAACUAAAC